ensembl:lncRNA
UUUUUUUUUUUUUUUUAAGUUACUGAAUUCUAAUACACAUUGUUGCUCCAAACCUCCCUGAACUAACCCCUCAGAGAAGAACAUAUGUUUUAAACAAGCACCCCAGGCUUUCCAGAGCCUUUAAAGGUAUUGGUAAUGUUUUACUUCUUAGGCAGCGUGAUGAGUACAUAAGUUUUGGGUUUAUUUUUCUUCUGUGUCUCAUUCAUAUUUAUAUAUCAUUAUACAUAUAUGUCUUAUAAGUUUGUGAGUGCUCUUGAUGAAUUAUGUACAGACAGGUCAGGAAUCACGCUUUGGGAACCCAUGCAGGCUGCAUCAGAAUCUCCUACAUACUUUUCAAAGUAGAACUCUAUCAUAGGUUUAAUUGUGUCCCCUCAGAAAUAUAUGUGAAAGCCCUAAACCUCAGUAUCUCACAAUGUGACCUUAUUUAGAAAUAAGAUUCUUUCAGACACAAAUGUUAAAACAAGGGCAUACUGGAUUAAGGUGGAUUAGGGUAGGUGUCCUUACCACAAGAUGGCCAUGUAAAGACACAAGGAGAACACUAAGAGACAACAAAGGCAAAGAUUGAAAUUAUGCAGCUGCAAGCCAAGGAAUGCCAAAGACUGUCAAUAAACCACCAGAAGCUAGUAAGAGGCAAAUAAAGAUUCCUCUAUAGGCUUAAGAAGGAACAUGGUCCUGCCAACACCUUAAUUUAACAUUUCCUAGCCUCCAAAACUAUGAGACUAUUUCUGCUGUUUUAAGCCACUCAGUUUGUGAUAUUGUGUUAUGGCAGCCUAAGAAACUAAUACAAGCUUCUAUUAAGAGUGACAAUGAUGAGGCUGGGCGUGGUGGUUCACGCCUGUAAUCCCCGCACUUAGAGGAAGCUGAGGCAGGAGGAUCGUUUGAGCCCAGGCGUUCAAGACCACCCUAGGCAAUAUAGUGAGACCUCAUCUCUAGAAAAAAAUUUUAAAAUCAGCCAGGUUUGCUGGUGCACGCCUGUAGUCCCAGCUACUUGGGAGGCUGAGGUGGGAGGAUCGCUCAGCCCCAGUAAGUUGACGCUACAGUGAGCAAUGAUUAUGCCAUUGCACUCCAGCCUGGGUGACAGAGCCAGACCAUUAAAAAAAAAAAAAGUGAAAGUGUCUGACCAUUUGAUCUAAUUUUGAGAAGUCUGCCACAGAUUCUAGAAUCCUAAUAACGUUUGUAUAGGAAAAGACCUCUGAAUAACCUUCUUGUUUUGGAGAUAAGAAAAAAAUUGAGUCUGAAACUCCAAUCAUUAAAACGGUAAACUAUUAUCUGGAGAGUGAUAAUGCUUUAGAAACAUUAACUCAAAUACCUGAAAAAAAUGAGGCACAAGGUCACUAUGUUUUGCUUUUUGGUUUUGUUUUAUUGGAGACGGAGUCUCGCUCUGCCGUCCAGGCUGGAGUGCAGUGGCGUGAUCUCAGCUCACUGCAAGCCCCGCCUCCCGGGUUCACACCAUUCUCCUACCUCAGCCUCCCGAGUAGCUGGGACUACAAGCGUCCGCCACCACGCGCGGCUUUUUGUAUUUUUUCAGUAGAGGCGGGGUUUCACCGUGUUAGCCAGGAUGGUCUCCACCUCCUGACCUCGUGAUCGGCCUGCCUCGGCCUCCCAAAGUGCUGGAAUUACAGGCUUGAGCCACCGCACCCGGCCAAGGUCACUGUGUUUUUAAAGCAAACAGGGAAGAGAGUUCAGGGACUAACAGGAAGUAUAUACAAAGACAGCCUGGCCUCCUGGGUCUGCAAAAGGAGAGAGGAGAGGCCUUAGGACCAACAUUGCUGUCCAACUAAGUUUUAAACAAAUUGUCUCUAAAAUUACCCACAUUAGUCUGUUAUUAGCCUCUGUUCCUAUUUGAAAAUUAAAAAGGUUUAAGAGAAUCCUGACCUGUGGCUGGUUUGAUGUAACCGUAUUUGCAAAGAGCUAAUAUUUGGAGGAAAGUAGUAAGGAAAAGCUAUCUGAUUCCACUAUCCAACCAUCCGUCCUUUUAAGCGUCUGACUAUAAUCCACACAGACAUACUUAGCAAACUUUAAAAUACGGCCUCUCAACAUUGUUAC